GCCAGGAAGAGGAAGAGAGACUCUUAAGAGCAGUAGGAAUGGGAACAUGAAGGAAAGCCAAAUAAAGCUCUAACUCCUAGGGUUGGAGAUUUGAUCUGAUGAUUUUCCUGAUGCCUCCCAUUCCUAUAGUUCUUAGGUGCCUGUUCCUCUUACUUUCGGCU
rnacentral:pre_miRNA from 1 species